UACGGAGGGUGCAAGCGUUAAUCGGAAUUACUGGGCGUAAAGCGCACGUAGGUGGUUUUCUAAGCCAGCUGUGAAAUCCCCGGGCUCAACCUGGGCACUGCAGUUGGAACUGGAAAGCUAGAGUAGGGUAGAGGGGUGUGGAAUUCCAGGUGUAGCGGUGAAAUGCGUAGAUAUCUGGAGGAACACCGGUGGCGAAGGCGGCAUCCUGGACCGGCAUUGACGCUGAGGCGCGAAAGCCAGGGGAGCAAACGGG
rnacentral:rRNA from 1 species